CUUGUACUCCCUCCGUCCGAAAAUNCGAAAAUACUUGUCAUUGAAAUGGAUGUAUCUAGAUGUAUUUUAGUUCUAGACACAUCCAUUUUGAUGACAAGUAAUUCCGGACGGAGGGAGUACUUG
rnacentral:pre_miRNA from 1 species